UUGUAUUUCCAUUUUCUAUAUUGUCAAUGCUAACUUAUUCUUGUUUAUGGACUAUGUCAGAGUCAAUACCGGAAAUACUUAAAUCGCUGCCGUUAUUUGAGGAUAAAGAAAGCAGCAGUGACCACACAAUGUGCUUGGAGAGGAAAAGUUGCACGCAGAGAAUUACGAAAGCUCAAAAUGGCUGCUAAGGAAACUGGGGCCCUUCAGGCUGCCAAAAAUAAGCUGGAAAAGCAAGUUGAAGAAUUGACCUGGCGUCUGCAGCUAGAGAAGCGAAUGAGGGUAUAUUGAGAUGAUUUAUUUGGAGCAAUUCUUGACAACAUUUGUAGUUGAGGCCUUUAGAAUGGAAGAAUGUAUUUCACUAAUUUUUGUAUACAUUUCUUGUUUUGUAUUUAGUGAUAAAGGAAUCUGAAUUAGGCAUAAAUUAUGUUGUAAUAUGAUUUCUUAAGCCUAGACUAGUAGACUAAAUAUUGUAAUUACAUUUGAGUAAUUAAUAAAAAUCUAUUUAUGUUA